GCAUCAAGACGAGGGAGGGAAACACCCUUCUCUCCCUUAGUCUGUCUAAUUAGCCUCUGCACUCUUCUCGGCGAAGCCACGAGGUAGCCAUCUUGCUUCUGCAGAGGAAGCCUCGGUAGUGGAACAGCCCUGCAAACUGCUCUGCUGUUAUUAUCAUGGUGUUUGAAGGCAGCCCUGGCCUGCCAGCACUGUAGACGUGCUGGGCAUGCCUUUUGCAAAAACAGCCCUACACGGUGCAGCCAAUGGCAAUGCAGAGCUUAGCAACUCCAAAGUGAUCUUCUCAGCCUAGCCCUUCCUAGACAAAGGAUCUCCUGUGCGGCUGGCUCUCGCCACAGGACACAGGCAGCCCCAAGCUGUGACAUGGAGUUCUCCGCAGAGGAUCUGGUCGCGGCAAAAUCACAGGAGGCUUCAGCCAAAACAAUGCACGCCAAUCCCCCAGGUGGCCAGCGGAUCGAUGGCGGAGUCUCCCUGAUUAGUCACCUCUGGGUGGCGGCCAGGGCAGGUCCGCCUGGGGGAGGGGACGCCGCUCUGCCUGCACCACACAGGAGCUGUCACGGAGCCCAGGGGGGCCUUGAGGCUCGCUGAAACUCUGGAAGGUUUUCAGGAGACAGGAGCCUCGCUAUGUGGCACAGGCUGGCCCACAAUGCUGGGAUUCAAGCGACCCUCACGUCUCAACAUCCUGAGCGCCGGGAGCAAGUCUGACUGUGCAGAAACACAAGACCCUUCCUCCUUCUUUCCUGAUGAAACCUGGGCCACAUCCCUCACAGCCCCAUCAAUGCUGGAGACUUACAUCUGCCGUUUUGUCACCAUCAGCCUUUGGAUCACUAAGGUACAAUAGAAAACAAAUAGGUAGACCAACAGAAGAGAUGUGGAGCUAAACUCCACUGAAAAAUAAAUACGCGUCAGGCGUGGAGGUGCAUGCCUGUAAUCCCAGCACUCCAAGGCCGAGGC